ACAAUAGGAAAAAAUAGUAGUUCUUAUUUGGAACACCAGCAAAGAUUAUCAUGGUCCCUUCACAAGGAUGACAUGAAGAUUCAUGAUGCAUUCCAUAUUUUA
rnacentral:snRNA from 1 species